rnacentral:rRNA from 1 species
CCUACGGGGGGCAGCAGUGGGGAAUCUUGCACAAUGGGGGAAACCCUGAUGCAGCGACGCCGCGUGAGCGAUGAAGCCCUUCGGGGUGUAAAGCUCUUUCGGCAGGAACGCGGUACCUGCAGAAGAAGCUGCGGCUAACUACGUGCCAGCAGCCGCGGUAAUACGUAGGCAGCAAGCGUUGUUCGGAAUUACUGGGCGUAAAGAGUGUGUAGGUGGUGUCGUAAGUUUGGUGUGAAAUCUCCCGGCUUAACUGGGAGGGUGCGCCGAAGACUGCGAUGCUGGAGUAUGGGAGAGGAAAGCGGAAUUCCUGGUGUAGCGGUGAAAUGCGUAGAUAUCAGGAGGAACACCUGCGGUGUAGACGGCUUUCUGGACCAUACUGACACUGAGACACGAAAGCGUGGGUAGCAAACAGGAUUAGAUACCCUUGUAGUC